UACAGAGGUCUCAAGCGUUGUUCGGAUUCAUUGGGCGUAAAGGGUGCGUAGGCGGCGCGGUAAGUCGGGUGUGAAAUCUUGGAGCUUAACUCCGAAACUGCAUUCGAUACUGCCGUGCUUGAGGACUGGAGAGGAGACUGGAAUUUACGGUGUAGCGGUGAAAUGCGUAGAUAUCGUAAGGAAGACCAGUGGCGAAGGCGGGGUCUCUGGACAGUUCCUGACGCUGAGGCACGAAGGCCAGGGGGAGCAAAACGGGGAUUAGAAACCCC
rnacentral:rRNA from 1 species